UACGGGGGGAGCAAGCGUUGUUCGGAUUUACUGGGCGUAAAGGGCGCGUAGGCGGCCAGCGCAAGUCAGUUGUGAAAUCUCCGGGCUUAACUCGGAAAGGUCAACUGAUACUGCGCGGCUAGAGUGCAGAAGGGGCAACUGGAAUUCUCGGUGUAGCGGUGAAAUGCGUAGAUAUCGAGAGGAACACCUGCGGCGAAGGCGGGUUGCUGGGCCGACACUGACGCUGAGGCGCGAAAGCGUGGGGAGCGAACAGG
rnacentral:rRNA from 1 species